rnacentral:lncRNA from 1 species
UCAGGAGGAUUCUUGGUAAUUCUCUAAUUGUGCUUCUAAUUGCUUUCUAAUUAUCUUUGUUCUUCAAUAUUAUGAAUAUGACUUUGUUCUACUUCAAUAUAUUGCUUAUGAUUUUGCUCUACUUGCUUAUAUUCAAGAUUAUAUUGUUCUUAGUUUAUCAUAGUUAUGUACUUGGCUUAGUUAGAUACGAUCUAUAUACAUGCUUAGGAUCGUAUAGCGUUUAUCCAUCGGAUUCAUGGGUAGAUGAUAGAUAUUGUGUAGGCGUGGUGCUUAUACCGUAUUUAUCUGCGAUUGUACCCAAUAUGCCAGAUCGUGGGG